rnacentral:lncRNA from 1 species
CUAGAGAAUCAAAUAUUUUGGGAAUUGGGAUGUUCAUGAAAAUUGAAUUUGAGUUUAGUUUAACGACAUUUCGGUCGAUAUCGGAUUUAGGUUUAGUUUAACGACGUUUCGGUCGAUUAAUUUGGUGGAUUAGUUUAACGACGUAUCGGUCGAAGGUUUGGGCUUGGUUCACAAGGUUUAUGGUAUUGGGUAUAUGGGAUUAUGGUUCAUGAACUUAGAUAUGGUUCAUGGGUUUAUGGUUCAUGGACUUAUGGUUUAUGGGUUUGGUUCAUGGGCUUAUGGUUCAUGAACUUGUGGUAUGGUUCAUGGGUUUAUGAACUUGUGGUUCAUGGGCUUAUGGUUCAUGAACUUGAUUCAUAGUUUGUGGAUUUGGUGUAUGGUAUGGUCCACAGGAUUUGGUAUAUGGUUUGGUCUAUGGUUUUGGUUCAAAGUUCAUGGAGGUUAAAGUUAUGGGCUUGGAUAUGGGUUAAAUGUGUAUGGGUUUAUGGGUAAAUGUAUAUGGGUUUAUGUAUAUGGGUUUAUGGGUUAAUGGUUUUAAUGAGUUUUGGAUAAUGGGCUUAGAUAGU